rnacentral:rRNA from 1 species
UACAUAGGGUGCAAGCGUUAAUCGGAAUUACUGGGCGUAAAGCGUGCGCAGGCGGUGAUGUAAGACAGUUGUGAAAUCCCGGGCUCAACCUGGGAACUGCAUCUGUGACUGCAUCGCUGGAGUGCGGCAGAGGGGGAUGGAAUUCCGCGUGUAGCAGUGAAAUGCGUAGAUAUGCGGAGGAACACCGAUGGCGAAGGCAGGUGACUGGACAUUUGGUGACG